rnacentral:rRNA from 1 species
AGUGUAGUUAAUAGCUGCAUUAUUUGACGUUAGCGACAGAAGAAGCACCGGCUAACUCCGUGCCAGCAGCCGCGGUAAUACGGAGGGUGCGAGCGUUAAUCGGAAUUACUGGGCGUAAAGCGCAUGCAGGUGGUUUGUUAAGUCAGAUGUGAAAGCCCGGGGCUCAACCUCGGAAUUACCGGUGGCGAAGGCGGCCCCCUGGACAGAUACUGACACUCAGAUGCGAAAGCGUGGGGAGCAAACAGGAUUAGAUACCCUGGUAGUCCACGCCGUAAACGAUGUCUACUUGGAGGUUGUGGCCUUGAGCCGUGGCUUUCGGAGCUAACGCGUUAAGUAGACCGCCUGGGGAGUACGGUCGCAAGAUUAAAACUCAAAUGAAUUGACGGGGGCCCGCACAAGCGGUGGAGCAUGUGGUUUAAUUCGAUGCAACGCGAAGAACCUUACCUACUCUUGACAUCCAGAGAACUUUCCAGAGAUGGAUUGGUGCCUUCGGGAACUCUGAGACAGGUGCUGCAUGGCUGUCGUCAGCUCGUGUUGUGAAAUGUUGGGUUAAGUCCCGCAACGAGCGCAACCCUUAUCCUUGUUUGCCAGCGAGUAAUGUCGGGAACUCCAGGGAGACUGCCGGUGAUAAAC